rnacentral:rRNA from 1 species
CCAGCAGCUGCGGUAAUUCAAGCUCUAAUAGCGUAUAUUAAAGUUGUUGCAGUUAAAAAGCACGUAGUCGGAUGUCGGGCUCGGGCAGGCUGUCGGCUUCGGUCGGACGGCAGGCUCGGGUCUUUCUGCCUGAGGAACCCGUGGCACUUAACUGUGCGGCGUGGGCACGCAGGCCGUUUACUUUGAAAAAAUUAGAGUGUUCAAAGCAGGCCUACGCUUGAAUACAUUAGCAUGGAAUAAUGGAAUAGGACUUUGGUUCUAUUUUGUUGGUUUCUAGGACCAAAGUAAUGAUGAAUAGGGAUAGUUGGGGGCAUUAGUAUUGAGCUGUCAGAGGUGAAAUUCUUGGAUUUGCUCAAGACUAACAACUGCGAAAGCAUUUGCCAAGGAUGUUUUCAUUGAUCAAGAACGAAAGU